CUACGGGACGCAGCAGUGAGGAAUAUUGCACAAUGGGGGGAACCCUGAUGCAGCAACGCCGCGUGGAGGAUGACGCAUUUCGGUGUGUAAACUCCUUUUAUAUGUCAAGAAAAUGACGGUAGCAUAUGAAUAAGCACCGGCUAACUCCGUGCCAGCAGCCGCGGUAAUACGGAGGGUGCAAGCGUUACUCGGAAUCACUGGGCGUAAAGGACGCGUAGGCGGGUUGGAAAGUCAGGUGUGAAAUCCUACAGCUUAACUGUAGAACUGCACUUGAAACUUCUAAUCUAGAGUAUGGGAGGGGGGGAUGGAAUUAGUGGUGUAGGGGUAAAAUCCGUAGAUAUCACUAGGAAUACCUAAAGCGAAGGCGAUCUCCUGGAACAUUACUGACGCUAAGGCGUGAAAGUGUGGGGAGCAAACAGGAUUAGAUACCCUCGUAGUC
rnacentral:rRNA from 1 species